rnacentral:rRNA from 1 species
AUUGAACGCUGGCGGCAGGCUUAACACAUGCGGUCGAACGAUGACUGACUGGCUUUUUAAAUAAAAUUAGUGGCGGACGGGUGAGUAACAUUUAGGAAUCUGCCUAGUAGUGGGGGAUAGCUCGGGGAAACUCGAGUUAAUACCGCAUACGACCUACGGGUGAAAGGGGGCGCAAGCUCUUGCUAUUAGAUGAGCCUAAAUCAGAUUAGCUAGUUGGUGGGGUAAAGGCCUACCAAGGCGACGAUCUGUAGCUGGUCUGAGAGGAUGAUCAGUCACACCGGAACUGAGACACGGCCCGGACUCCUACGGGAGGCAGCAGUGGGGAAUAUUGGACAAUGGGGGCAACCCUGAUCCAGCCAUGCCGCGUGUGUGAAGAAGGCCUUUUGGUUGUAGAGCACUUUAAGCAGGGAGGAGAGGCUAAUGGUUAAUACCCAUUAGAUUAGACGUUACCUGCAGAAUAAGCACCGGCUAACUCUGUGCCAGCAGCCGCGGUAAUACAGAGGGUGCGAGCGUUAAUCGGAAUUACUGGGCGUAGAGCUAAGAGUAGGUGGCUCAUUAAGUCACAUGUGAAAUCCCCGGGCUUAACCUGGGAACUGCAUGUGAUACUGGUGGUGCUAGAAUAUGUGAGAGGGAAGAAGAUUUCCAGGUGUAGCGGUGAAAUGCGUA